rnacentral:rRNA from 1 species
UUUGUUUUUUAAUUAAAAACUAGAAUGAAAGGUUAUACAUUCAAAUUUCUUUAUUAAUUUUUAAUAAAUAAUUUAUAUUAAAUAUAAAAAUAUAUUUAUGAAAAAAAAAAGACGACAAGACCCUAUUAAAUUUUACUUAUAGUUUAGCUGGGGAAGCUUUUCAAUUAAAAUUUUUUAAAAUCUUAAAAUAAAUAUCUAAUUUAAAUUAAAAUUUAAAUAAAUUACUAUAGGGAUAACAGCAUUAUAUUUUUUAAAAGUUCAUAUUAAAAAAAAAUGAUUGUGACCUCGAUGUUGAAUUAUAUUUUCUAUAUUUAAUGCAAUAAUUAUAAAAGUAGAUCUGUUCGAUCUUUAAAAUAUUACAUGAUUUGAGUUCAAACCGGUGUAAACCAGGUUGGUUUCUAUCUUUUUAUAUAUUUUUCCAGUACGAAAGGACAAAAAAAUUUUUAUUUUAAUAAAUUAGCAAAUAUAAUGCAUUAGAUUUAGAAUCUAAAUAUAUUUAA